rnacentral:rRNA from 1 species
AACGAACGCUGGCGGCAUGCCUAACACAUGCAAGUCGAACGAGACCUUCGGGUCUAGUGGCGCACGGGUGCGUAACGCGUGGGAACCUGCCCUUAGGUUCGGAAUAACUCCCCGAAAGGGGUGCUAAUACCGGAUAAUGUCUUCGGACCAAAGAUUUAUCGCCUUUGGAUGGGCCCGCGUUGGAUUAGCUAGUUGGUAGGGUAAAAGCCUACCACGGCGACGAUCCAUAGCUGGUCUGAGAGGAUGAUCAGCCACACUGGGACUGAGACACGGCCCAGACUCCUACGGGAGGCAGCAGUGGGGAAUAUUGGACAAUGGGCGAAAGCCUGAACCAGCAAUGCCGCGUGAGUGAUGAAGGCCUUAGGGUUGUAAAGCUCGUUUACCCGGGAUGAUAAUGACAGUACCGGGAGAAUAAGCUCCGGCUAACUCCGUG